GGAAUAUUGCGCAAUGGGCGAAAGCCUGACGCAGCCACGCCGCGUGAGCGAUGAAGGCCCUCGGGUUGUAAAGCUCUGUGGAGGGGGACGAAUAAGCGUUGGUCAAUAUCCAACGUGAUGACGGUACCCUUUUAGCAAGCACAGGCUAACUCUGUGCCAGCAGCCGCGGUAAGACAGAGGGUGCAAACGUUGUUCGGAAUUACUGGGCGUAAAGCGCGUGUAGGCUGCUUCGCAAGUCGGAUGUGAAAGCCCUGGGCUCAACCCAGGAAGUGCAUUCGAAACUGCAGAGCUGGAGUCCUGGAGAGGAAGGCGGAGUUCUCGGUGUAGAGGUGAAAUUCGUAGAUAUCGAGAGGAACACCGGUGGCGAAGGCGGCCUUCUGGACAGUGACUGACGCUGAGACGCGAAAGCGUGGGGAGCAAAC
rnacentral:rRNA from 1 species